AUGUUUAUAGUCAUAUAUGCUGCUCUCUUCUCUUUGCUCACAGAAGCUGUUCUAGGAGUGACUUUGGAGCAACAACAUCUCUCUGUGACAAAAGAGAAGGGCAAAAGUGUGUACAUCACCUGCAAAGUGACCAAAUUAACCAGAGAAUAUGUGCACUGGUACCAAAAGAAAGAUGGAGAAGCUUUUACAAGGACCCUGUAUGUUAAAAAACAUAGCAAAUGCAUUGACGUGAGGAUACAGUCUGAUAAUUAUAAUCUAAAGAUAACAAAACUGAGUAGAAACCACUUAGCAGUUAAUUACUGCGCCAGCUAGG